rnacentral:lncRNA from 1 species
AUAGCUCGCUUUAUAGGGUAUCUAGAAGAAUCUAUGGGAUACUACUACUUUCUACAAGACCAUAAUAUGAUUAUGAGUCAAAAUGUCGUAUUCUUAGAAAAAAUUGUUUAUCCAAGAUGAUAGCAGUGGAAGGUGAUUGCUGUCGUAGGUGGUCAAGAAUAAAAAUUAACUCAAACUAUAUAGAUAGGGUGAGUCGGGA